rnacentral:rRNA from 1 species
GUGGGGAAUUUUGGACAAUGGGGGCAACCCUGAUCCAGCCAUGCCGCGUGAGUGAAGAAGGCCUUCGGGUUGUAAAGCUCUUUCGGCGGGAACGAAAAGGCCACGCUUAAUACGGGUGGUCGAUGACGGUACUCGCAGAAGAAGCACCGGCUAACUACGUGCCAGCAGCCGCGGUAAUACGUAGGGUGCGAGCGUUAAUCGGAAUUACUGGGCGUAAAGCGUGCGCAGGCGGAUGCUUAAGCCAGACGUGAAAUCCCCGGGCUUAACCUGGGAAUGGCGUUUGGGACUGGGUGUCUUGGAGUGCGGCAGAGGGAGGUGGAAUUCCUGGUGUAGCAGUGAAAUGCGUAGAUAUCAGGAGGAACACCGAUGGCGAAGGCAGCCUCCUGGGCCAGCACUGACGCUCAUGCACGAAAGCGUGGGGAGCAAACAGGAUUAGAAACCCCAGUAGUCC